AAGGAGCACUUCUCCACGAUGCGUCACACAGGUGAUUGUGGUCGUGGCAGAGGCCAUGUCGGACUCGAAUGUAGUCCGGUGGUUGCUCAUGGGUGGAACGCUGGCAUGUGCCUCGUGUAUCGGUUGGUCCUGUGUGGCCGGCCGGCGGGGAUGUAGUCGACACACUGUUGGGUCCUGAGAGAACACGCGAGUGACUCUCUAGGCGAAUGCAUGAUCUGCUCGGAUCGCCAUGUGAUACCGGCUCCUUCGGGGGUGCUGGUCCUGGGUUUCUGGUUCGGGUGGGUGUGUUGUUUGAGAACUGCACAGUGGACGCGAGCAUCUUUGUUU
rnacentral:misc_RNA from 1 species